ensembl:lncRNA
AUACACUUUAAACUGUGCUCUUCUAACACACACACACACACACACACACACACACACACACACCUCCCUCCUGUCGUUCACACAUACACACACUCUCCUUUCUCACAAACACUGCAUCACUCACUCACACACACUCUCUCUCUCUCUCUCUCUCUCUCACACACACACACACACACACACACACACACACACACACACACGGUGUCUGUCUUUGUCACGCACACACUCACUCAGUCCCCGCCUUCUUUCCCCUCUGCACGCACGCACACACACACACUCUCUCUCUCACACACACUCACACACACAUACACACACUCACGCACUCUCUCUCUCACACACACACACACACACACACACUAACACGUACACACAAACACCUACAUACACACUCACACACACACACACACACACACACUCACACAAACACCUACAUACACACUCACACACACACACACUCACACACAAACACUUACAUACACACACACAUUCACGCGCACACUCACACACAAACACCUACAUACACACUCGCACACACACACACACACACACUCACGCGCACACUCACACACAAACACCUACAUACACACUCACGCGCGCGUACAAUAUUUAAUGGAUAAUGGUUUAUUGGAUCGUUUUAAUAGAUUUUAAUAAACAUUUAAUAUUAAAAUAAGAAGUUUAAACUUGAUUUUAUUUAGAGAUGUAUGAUCUUCUGUGGUAAAGUGACGUAGUUAAAGUCCGUGAAUGAGUGAAACACCUGAUUCUUUUAUUUAUAAGAACAAGAAUUUAACUUUAACAGUGUAUUACUGAACAAACAGUCACUUUUAUUCGAAAUAUUAGAUAUUAACGCCAUUAUUAAUAACAAUUAUUAACUUUUUUCAAAUUAAACUGACACUUUUAUCCUGACAGAAAAUUCACUUCUAGCUGUCAGUCAGAACUGGCUUAUAAAUUCCGCACGCGCUGUAUAGCUGGAAUAACGGUCACAAAUUGAGCUAAGCUAACUAACAUUUCGCCUUUUAUUUAUUCAUAUUCAUUUAAACUGAGCUGGUUUCUCUCACCCCCGAGGCAGCGGAGGCGGCUUGCUAGCCUCUCCGUCUCUGUCCCUGUCCAGCGCCAGAGGCUCCCGGCGGUCAAACUGCGAGCGAACGGUCUCCGCCAUGUUUACGCGCAGAGAUCUGGAUCGACUCCGCUGCUUUGCGGAGCUCUUCUCACACACUAGCGCUCGCGCCUAUACUGUGCGUACCGGUUGUUUCAGUCGCUACCACUUCCUUGCAGCCGCGGGGGUGAAACCCGUCCUCGUUCUUACAGUAAACAUAUUAAAAAAAUAGAACCACAGUACAAAAAUCCUACAAAUAGACUUAUAAAUGACAAAUAAAAUAAAAUGUAUAGUGCCGUUCUUUGUUUUAACUUUUAGAAAAGAUGUUUUGAGUUAUAAAACCUCGAGCGUGCACCCCUGACUGUAAUGGAUGAAUGAUCGCUCCCGCGGUAGUACAGGAGGGAGGGAGAGCUGGCUGUGUCUGAAACCUCACACUACCGCACUAUAUAGUACGCUACCUACGGUAACUAUGGUAACCUAUUCUGGAGAAUUAAUUUAAAAUACUAUGUAGAGCAGUAGUUUUCGGUUUGAAACGUGGCCGUCGUCUUUGUUUCCAAGCAAAGUUGAUUAUGGUCUAUUAGCAAAAUGUACACCCAAUAGGCUUUUGAAAGUGGUGUGACGUAAUGUUAAAUUGAUAUUAAUAAUGAUCUAUCUAUCUAUCUAUCUAUCUAUCUAUCUAUCUAUCUAUCUAUAAUGACGGUCAUGAUGAUGAUGAUCAUGGUGAUGAUGGUGUUGGUGGUGGUGUUGGUGAUGAUGAUGAUGACGAUGAUGGUGUUGAUGGUGGUGCUGGUGGGGGUGAUGACGAUGACGAUGAUGGUGUUGAUGGUGGUGCUGGUGGGGGUGAUGACGAUGACGAUGAUGGUGUUGAUGGUGGUGCUGGUAGGGGUGAUGACGAUGACGAUGAUGGUGUUGAUGGUGAUGACGAUGAUGACGAUGAUGGUGUUGAUGGUUGUGCUGGUAGGGGUGAUGACGAUGAUGGUGUUGAUGGUGGUGCUGGUAGGGGUGAUGACGAUGAUGGUGUUGAUGGUGGUGCUGGUGGGGGUGAUGACGAUGACGAUGAUGGUGUUGAUGGUGGUGCUGGUGGGGGUGAUGACGAUGACGAUGAUGGUGUUGAUGGUGGUGCCGGUGGGGGUGAUGACGAUGAUGGUGUUGAUGGUGGUGCUGGUGGGGGUGAUGACGAUGACGAUGAUGGUGUUGAUGGUGGUGCUGGUGGGGGUGAUGACGAUGACGAUGAUGGUGUUGAUAGUGGUGCUGGUAGGGGUGAUGACGAUGACGAUGAUGGUGUUGAUGGUGAUGACGAUGAUGACAAUGAUGGUGUUGAUGGUGGUGCUGGUAGGGGUGAUGACGAUGAUGGUGUUGAUGGUGGUGCUGGUGGGGGUGAUGACGAUGACGAUGAUGGUGUUGAUGGUGGUGCUGGUGGGGGUGAUGACGAUGACGAUGAUGGUGUUGAUAGUGGUGCUGGUAGGGGUGAUGACGAUGACGAUGAUGGUGUUGAUGGUGAUGACGAUGAUGACAAUGAUGGUGUUGAUGGUGGUGCUGGUAGGGGUGAUGACGAUGACGAUGAUGGUGUUGAUGGUGAUGAUGAUGAUGAUAGUGGUGGUGGUGGUAAUAGUGGUGAUGAUGAUGAUGGUGGUGGUUAUGGUGGUGCUGGCGGGGUUGAUGAUGAUGAGAAUAUCAGUAGUAGUGGUGCUGAUAAGUAGGUGGUGACAAUUGGUGAUGGUGAUGAUGGUGGUGGUGGUGGUGGUGGUGCUGGUGGAGGUGAUGAUGAUGAUGGUGGUGGUUGUGGAGAUGAUGAUGGUGGUGAUGGUGGUGGUGGUGGUAUCUUAAAAAAAACAGCUAAAGACCCUACCUCUUCUGUGAACACCUAACUAACCCCUAAUAAAUAAGUAAAUAAAUAAAUAAAAUAAAAUAAAAACCUUACUCUGGCACUUACACCUCUACUCUGCACACUUUGCUUCUUCUAGAACUCAAUUAAUACAUCUUGUAUGGUAGCACUACUUGUAUUGUUCUCUGCUUGAUAUAUCGCUUUGCUUGUAUUUUCUCAUUUGUAAGUCGCUUUGGAUAAAAGCGUCUGCUGAAUGAAUAAAUAUGGUGGUGAUGAUAGUGGUCUUGAAGUUGAUAAUGAUGGUGGUGGUUUGUCGGUGUUCAUAGAGCUUAUGAUUAUGAUAGAGUCUUUAUUUUUCACAUGCACAGUAUCUUUUAUUCGCAUACCUCACCAUGUCAGGAAGUUGAGGUCAGAGUGCAGGGUCAGCCAUGAUACAGUGCCCCUGGAGCAGAGAGGGUUAAGGGCCCAACAGGGGCAUUUUGGCAGUGCUGGGGCUUGAACCCCCGACCUUCUGAUCAGUAACCCAGAGCCUUAACCACCAAGCCACCACUGCCCCCGAUGAUGAUGAUGAUGAUGAUGAUAAUGAAGAUGGUGGUGAAGAUAAGUUGGUGGAAACAAUGAUAAUGAUGGUUGAUGAAGGUGAUGGUUUUGUUAACAGUGGAAAAUGGAGUGAUGCUGACAGUAAGGCUGAUGAUGAUAAUGAAGAUGGAGAGUUAGAGAAUAAUGGUUCUGGUGUUUUUUGGUGGAUGCUGAAGCUUUUAUAAUGAUGACGGUGAUGAUGAUGGUGAUGAUGAUGGUGGUGGUGAUAAAGUUCAUGGUAUUGUUAGUAAUAAUGAUUAUGUUCAUGAGGAUGAUGAGGAUAAAGUUGAUGAUGAUUAAGUUCAUGGUAUUGUUUGGGAUGAUGAUGAUGAUGAUUAUGAUCAUAGUUUUGAUGAUGAUGGAGAUGACAGUGAUGAUGGUUAUGAUGAUGAUGAUGAUGAUGAUAGUGGUGAUUAUGAGAUGGCAAAGAUGAUGGUGGUGGUGAUGAUGAUGAUGAUGAUGAUAGUGCUGGUGGAGCUCAUGAUGAUGAUAACCAUGAUGAUGACAAUGAUUAUGGUCAAGAUGGCUUUGUUGAUUAUAAUUAUAAUGAUAAUGACAAUGGUGAUGUUAGUGGUGUUCAUGGUAUUGUUGGUAGAUGCUGAGAAUAACUUUUAUAAUGAUGAUAAAGUUUGUUGUAUUGUUGGUGAUGAUGAUGAUUAUAAUAAUGAUGUUCAUGAACUGAUGAUGAUGGUGGAAAUGAUGAUGAUUAUGAUGAUGAUGAUGAUAGUAGUGGUAAUGAUGAUGGUGAUGAUGAAGAUAGUAGUGGUAAUGAUAAUGAUGGUGAUGAUGAUGGUGGUAAUGAUGAUGAUGGUGAUGAUGAUGAUGAUGAUGGUGAUGAUGAUGAUGAUGGUGAUAGUGGUGGUAAUGACGAUGAAGAUAAUGAUCAUGAUGGUGAUAGUGGUGGUAAUGAUGAUGGUGAUGAUGAUGAUGAUGAUGAUGAUGGUGAUGAUGAUGAUGAUGGUGAUGAUGAUGAUGGUGAUGGUGGUAAUAAUGAUGAUGGUGAUGAUGAUGAUGAUGAUGGUGAUAGCGGUGGUAAUGAUGAUGAUGGUGAUGAUGAUGAUGAUGGUAAUGAUGAUGAUGGUGAUGAUGAUGAUGAUGGUGAUAGUGGUGGUAAUGAUGAUGAUGGUGAUGAUGAUGACAAUGAUGAUGAUAGUGGUGGUAAUGAUGAUAAUGAUGAUGAUGAAGAUGGUGAUAGCGGUGGUAAUGAUGAUGAUGGUGAUGAUGAUGAUGAUGAUGGUGAUAGUGGUGGUAAUGAUGAUGAUGAUGAUGAUAGUGGUGGUAAUGAUGAUGAUGAUGAUGAUGUGAUGAUGGUGAUGGUGAUAAUAAUGAUGGUGAUAGUGGUGGUAAUGAUGAUGAUGAUGAUGAUAGUGGUGGUAAUGAUGAUGAUGAUGAUGGUGAUAGUGGUGGUAAUGAUAAUGAUGAUGAUGAUGAUGAUGAUGAUAGUGGUGGUAUGAUAAUGAUGAUGAUGGUGAUGAUGAUGAUGAUGAUGAUGAUGAUGGUGAUGAUGAUGAUGAUGAUGGUGAUGGUGGUGAUGGUGAUGAUGAUGAUGGUGAUGAUGAUGAUGAUGAUGAUGAUGGUGAUGA